CUAGGUCUCUGGGUCUCCUGGGGGCCGAAGC
rnacentral:misc_RNA from 1 species